UAAAAAAUAUAGGAAAAAAGUAAAAAAAAAAUUAACCGCCUCAGCUCUCUUUCUUCCCUCGGAUCUGCAAAGCCUCAAAACCCCAAAAGUCUCAAUAGACGCCGAAACCAUCCUUCACACAGCGGCAAUUUCCUUCACCCGGUGGUGCUUCAUCUCAAUGUGAAAUCGAAUAUCAAGGCCAUUUAUUCGGUUCAUCUCUGAUGAAGCUGCUGCAUAUCAGCUUGCCACAAAUGAAAUACAGUUUUUUGAUCCUGCUGAUUUCUCUAAAGGAUUUAUAUCUCAUCUCAAAGUUAAACGAACAGAUGUUGGUUUGAUCUAAUAUCUCGGUUGAUGCUUCAAAGCUUUGUUUUUGUGCUAAGCUAAUAUAAUUUGUAUCCAUGUUCUAUAACUUAAAUGUCACCUUUGACUUGUAGGUAAUAGUCUUCACAACAGAAAAGUGUCCCAUCAUAUUAUGUGUCAGCGACAUUGAAAGACUACUGCUUCAAUCAGACAUGUUAUGCAAUUUGUUCGACAACUUGUUGCCUACGUUGAGUGGUUCUGUCUUGGUGCUUGGGUCUCGUAUCUUAGAUGCAAACACUAUGAGAAAGCGGAUGAGAGGCUUACCUUAUUGUUUCCCUACAAUAUCGACAUAAGGCCUCCAGUAGAUGAGACUAAUCUUGUUAACUGGAACUCCCAACUAGAAGAGGACGUGAAGACGAUCCAGUUUCAGGAUAACAAGAACCACAUUGAUGAGGUUCUUGCAGCUAAUGAUCUUGUAUGUGAUAAUCCGAGAUAUAUCUGUCAUUCAGUACUUUAACCCUCAACGAUCAUAUCGAUAAAACUGUUAUGUCUGCAAUAUUAUUUCAUUUAAUGAAUAACAACGAGCCUGAAUACUUAAAUGGGAAGCUAGUCAUAUCUUCUGGCAGUUUGUCCCACAAGUUGAGUUUAUUCCAAGAAGGCAAAAGAAUGGGCAGAAAGAUGGAAACAAAUUGUGAAACUGGAAAGGAAAUGGAUGAUUCUGCUGCUGUGAAACCUGAUGGGAAGAAUGAAACAUCUGGACCGGUGUUGAAUUGCUGAUAACAAAGGUGAUUCAGUUCCUCUGACAAAGAACUCUGAGAAUUCAGCUCAUCCAAAGGAAGUAACUCCAGACAAUGAAUUUGAAAAUCACAUUAGGCCAGAGGUCAUUCCUGCAAAUGAGAUUGGAGUUUCAUUCAAUGACAUUGGAUCCCUGGAUGAGAUUGAAGAGUCCAUACAGGAACUAGUGUGCUUCCCUUGAGAAGGCCAGACCUGUUCAAAGUUGGACUUUUGAAAAUACUCUGUUUUGGCUGGAAUUCGAGCUGGAUUAGACAUGGUUGGUGACCAUAUAAGCAAACAUCACAAUAUUUUCUUUUGAAGUUGGUUGAAGUUGUUUUCCUAGGGAAUCAUCAGGUAGUUUAGUAUAUGAGACAACCAUUCAGUUCCCUUUCGGUCAACUUUUCCAUGUCCUAAUUUUUUUACGUUAGCCUUUGUUAAGUCAAUUUUAUUUUUCUAUACAGUUCUUACGGUAAUGUUAAUCCUUUCGUAUUUUUUUCCUUCUAUAUAUAUAUAUAUAUAUAUAUAUAUAUAUAUAUAGGGUAGGGAUCCGGUGAGAA